rnacentral:lncRNA from 1 species
GGCAAUUUUAGGAUAUUUUUGGGGUUUUUUGGGUUUUUUUUCUGGGGUUUUUGGGCGAUUUUGGGGUGAUUUUAAGGGGAUUUGGGGUCCUGGGGAUCCAUCAGGGACCCCCAAAAAUGUCUCAGGGACCCCCAAAAGUGCCCCCCCCUCUGCAGCAGGUGAAAUUUGGGGGAAUUUGGGCAAUUUUGGGCAAUUUUGGGAUUUUUUGGGACUUUUUUUGGGUGAUUUUUGGGCUCUUUUGGUGCUUUUUUGGGUGGUUUGAGGUCCCGGAAGGUCAGAAAACCGCCGGGUUUUUUUGGGGAGGGGGAUUCCCUGGUCUCCCUGAAUUUGGGGAGGGGUCUCAGGAGUCUUAGGAGUAUUUGAGUAUUUUGGGGAGGGGUCUCAGGAGUAUUUGAGUAUUUUGGGGAGGGGUCUCAGAGCUCUUUUUUGGGCUUUUUGAGGCUUUUUUGGCCUCUUUGGGACAUUUUCUGGUACUUUAUGGUCCUGGAAGGUCGGAAAACCGCCGGGUUUUUUUUGGGGAGGGGGAUUCCCUGGGCUGCCCGAAUUUGGGGAGGGGUCUCAGGGCUAUUUGGGGGUAAUUUGGGGAGGGGUCUCAGGGGUUUUUGGGGGCCAUUUGUGGAGUUUUGGGGCUCUUUUGAUGCAUUUUUGGGCGGUUUGAGGUCCCGGAAGGUCAGAAAACCGCCGGGUUUUUUUGGGGAGGGGGAUUCCCGGGGCUCCCCGAAUUUGGGGAGGGGUCUCAGGAGUCUCAGGAGUAUUUGAGUAUUUUGGGGAGGGGUCUCAGGGGUAAUUUGUGGCCCUUUUGGGCUCUUUUGAUGCUUUUUUGGCUGGUUUGAGGUCCUGGAAGGUCAGAAAACCGCCGGGUUUUUUUUGGGGAGGGGGAUUCCCUGGUCUCCCCGAAUUUGGGGAGGGGUCUCAGGAGUCUCAGGAGUAUUUGAGUAUUUUGGGGAGGGGUCUCAGGGGUCUCUGAGUAAUUUGGGGAGGGGUCUCAGGGGUAAUUUGUGGCGCUUUUGGGCUCUUUUGGGGCUCUUUUGGUGCUUUUUUGGGCGGUUUGAGGUCCUGGAAGGUCAGAAAACCGCCGGGUUUUUUUUGGGGAGGGGGAUUCCCGGGUCUCCCCGAAUUUGGGGAGGGGUCUCAGGCUCCGUGCCCCCUCCCCAGCCGCUCCAGCUGCUCGGAGUGCCUGGCCCCCCCCUCGCAGUGCGCCUGGUGCCCCUCGGCCCGGCGCUGUUUCCUCUUCGCCGCGUACCUGGCGCGGUUCCCCCACGGCGAGUGCCGCGGCUGGUCCGACAGCGUUCACUCGGCCCCCCAGUACCAGAGCUGCUCCUGGGGGGGAAUUCUGGGGGUCCUGGGGGGUUUUUGGGGGUGGUUUUGGGGGUUUUUGGGGGUUCCUGGGGGGUUUUGGGGUGGUUUUUUGGGGUUUUUG